UCCAAAAAGCAACCAUCAAUUAUCUCCAACGGGAGCAGCGACACAAACAAAAAGACACGUUGCGAAGACACUGAAACAGCGUCUUGCUCAGUUCAACACCGAAUGACGAAUUCACGCGUUCCGAGAUAGAUGUGUUUUUCGCAAAAUAUUGUUGUAUACAAUCGGUAGGUUCUCCGUGUCCUUUUGUAAGUUCAAGGUAUUAUUAUGCCGCUUUAUGAAGACCAUCUCAGCAAUUUCUCGUUUCUCGAGGUGGUCUUCACGAUGCAAAAUGUGAACAUUCGUCCAGUCAAAUUCGUGGUCAUCUUCAAGCCUAUGUUUACUAACCACAGACAUGUUUACCGACUGUUUCCUAAUAUCGGAAAUAUGCUCCUUAAUCCGCGUCUCAAGAUGUCGCUUUGUCUGGCCCACGUAACACACAUUACAAUCACACACAAUCAAUUUUAUAAACAACGCACAGUCAAUUUUAUAAACAACGCCGGUUCUUUUUUCAUUCUUGGGUCUAUCCUUACCGAGUCUAAUCAAACAAUUCAAUUUCUUGGAAAUAGUGAAAAUUAUGUUGUAACCAUGUCGUUUAAGCAAAUUUCGUAGGCUUGUAGUUACAUUGUUGACAAAUGGAACCUUAAUGUAUUUGUUACUAAUGUCCUUUCUCUCACUGACCAAAGGAUUGUCACGGAAUUGAAUCUCUCUUAUUCUCUUUUUAAUCUGUCAAUGACUUCAACAGGGUAGCAAUUGUUCAUCAAAAUUUCCUUGACAACAUUAAUGUUCGAUGGUGAUUCGAAAGAAAACUUAUAUAGCGGCCAGAAAACGUAGGCUUCCUGUACCAGUUAGUAACUAAUCUUCCACCGUCCCUGAUAACCGUGGUAUCCAAAAAACUCAAGCCAUCAUCGAUCUCCGUUUCACAGGUGAACUUAAGCCUCGGAUGAUAGCUAUUAAACACAUCAAUAACAUGCUGGACCUCGUCAUUAGGUAAAAUGGUGAAAAUAUCGUCAACAUAUCUAUAGAAAAUUAGUAAUCCAAAACCGAGUUGACCAAUGCAAUAAAGUUCUAAAUCUUCCAUCACCGUGUCUGCCAAAAUCGGAGGCAAUGGAGAGCCCAUUGGACUUCCAAAGAUCUGCUGAUACGUUUGUUCGUUAAAAGAAAAACAUGUUGAAUUUAAAAUCAGCUCAAUGGCAUAUUUGAACUGGUCAAAGUUAAAUUUACAAUUAGGAGCAAUCAAAUGCCAUCUCUUAUCUAAUGCUGUAAAUACUAAUUCAUUAGGAACAUUAGUAAAAAGAGAAACAAUGUCCAACGAAACUAGUGAACUCUGUGGCUCGAUCUCCCUAUUCCCAAUUUCCCUGACGAAGGUCCAACUGUCACGAACGUGAGAAGCCGGUUUAGUAACCGAAUCGCUCAAAAUUUUAUGAAAAAAACAUGCUAUGUCAUAAGUAGGAGAACCUAUGGAAGAGACAAUAACUCGUAACGGAUUGCCCUCUUUAUGUAUUUUGGGCAAACCAUAACAUUUGGCUAGAUUAAAGCCAGUAUUAAAAAGUUGUCUGUACCUAUGCUCAUCAAUUAAUUCAGAAAUUCUUUAUAUAUAUUUUUAUAUUUUUUAUUUUUUAUAAUUUUGUCUUUGAUAGUUUGUGUUAUGUAUUGUUUUGUAGAAAGUGACUAUUUCGCACUUGAUAAGGACCCUAAUUUGAGGUCGAAACGUAGUGCUACCAAUAUUUUGUUUCACCAGUUCUUGGUCAUAAAUAAAGAAUUAUCAUAUUACGUAGUUGUGUUACGUAGUUUCAUUCCAGAAAUUUAAAAAUAUAUCAUAACUAUAUUUUUUCCAUUUUUUAUCUUUAUUUCUGUCUCUCUGCAAUUAAUAAUCUUUAAAACUGAAAACAAUGCAUGAAAAAAACAUUAAAAGUUUUAUAAAAUGUUUUUAUGUCGGAUAAUGAGAAAUUUGAACCAACCAAUGAUCACGCAGUGUAAUAAUUAAUUAAGUAUAAGAUAUACAUAUAUUACAAAAGAAUAAAUUACAUAUUCAUUUGGUGAGAAAAUGUCCGCAUAAUUUUCCUUUCAUAAAAAUUAAUAUACAUUUUUAGAGAUUUCAAUGAAUUACAUGAAUUAAAAAUGAAUGUAUUCUUUUCACAUAAGUAAAGUUAUUUUAAGUAAAAGAAAAUGUCCGCAUGAUAUUUUCCUUUCAUGAUAGUUAAACCUAAUAGCAACAAAACUGCAUCAAUCUUAAAAACUCAUAACAUUAAAGCAAAAUAUGAUAAAAUUUACGACUUAUAAACGAAAUAAGAAGAAACUAUACAAAACCAACUUGAUAAUAUUAAUCACAUGAAUGUAGAGUAAUCGAUGUCAAUUUGUGAUUUCAUAACAAAAAUUUCAGGAAUUGGUACGUCAAAUAAUACGUAUUGAUGUUUAACAAUAAUUUAUUUGCAGCGAGCAAGUAGAUAUAUAUUAAACAUUUUUACAUAUUUGUACAUUUGUACAACGCUCAAUACAGAAACUAUACUAUAUUAACAAAUUGUUCAGAGGAUGAUUCAACCAACAUACUCUUAAAAAUAUCAAUUCUGAUUACAAUCCCUGUAUCUGAAACACUGUAACCUACUUUAACAGCCACUAAAA